rfam:Daphnia pulex DAPPTscaffold_2041_Cont13787, whole genome shotgun sequence.
GGGGGUAUAGCUCAGUGAUAGAGCAUUCGACUGCAGAUCGAAAUGUCCCCAAUUCAAACCUGGGUGCCCCCU